rnacentral:rRNA from 1 species
UACGUAGGUCCCGAGCGUUGUCCGGAUUUAUUGGGUGUAAAGCGAGCGCAGGUGGUUUAUUAAGUCUGGUGUAAAAGGCAGUGGCUCAACCAUUGUAUGCAUUGGAAACUGGUAGACUUGAGUGCAGGAGAGGAGAGUGGAAUUCCAUGUGUAGCGGUGAAAUGCGUAGAUAUAUGGAGGAACACCGGUGGCGAAAGCGGCUCUCUGGUCUGUAACUGACGCUGAGGCUCGAAAGCGUGGGUAGCGAACAGG